rnacentral:misc_RNA from 1 species
CCGUGCACCGAACGGUCGGCAGGCGAUCCGCGUCUGUCUCUUGGGUGGUAUGGUUCCCCAGAGGCCCGUUCUUGUGCUGCGUACCCCCCUCAAGGGAAGAUGGCCACUCGAUGUAUGCCUCCAUCCGGCGCCUUCCAAUGGGCGCAGGAGGACAACGGAGCACCCCCCGCGUUCCACCGAGCCUUCGCCGGUCGAGUGGCCCGUGGGGACGUGCGAUGCUCUCGGACCCAGCGCACGCCGUGGGCGAGGACUCACGUCCCAGUCCCAAGAGAAGCUUCGGAUAAUGCUGACGGCCGCUCCCGCCCCCCGUUCCGCCCCGGCGGUGCGAGGGCGAGGCGCGGCGUCGCGGAGGAAUGCUACCU